AGAGUUUGAUCCUGGCUCAGGAUGAACGCUAGCUACAGGCUUAACACAUGCAAGUCGAGGGGAAACGGACAUCGAAAGCUUGCUUUUGAUGGGCGUCGACCGGCGCACGGGUGAGUAACGCGUAUCCAACCUGCCCAUCACUUGGGGAGUAACCUUGCGAAAGUAAGACUAAUACCCAAUGAUAUCUCUAGAAGGCAUCUGAAAGAGAUUAAAGAUUUAUCGGUGAUGGAUGGGGAUGCGUCUGAUUAGCUUGUUGGCGGGGUAACGGCCACCAAAGCAACGAUCAGUAGGGGUUCUGAGAGGAAGGUCCCCCACAUUGGAACUGAGACACGGUCCAAACUCCGUACGGGAGGCA
rnacentral:rRNA from 1 species